rnacentral:lncRNA from 1 species
GAUGACGAACAAUGACGACCCCGAUACCAUUCACUUUCGAUUAGGCAGUCUAGUUCGUUCGAUGAGUGUCCCAGAGUUUGGAGUUGCUCUGGGACUUUACACCGAUGAGUUUAUAGAGGAGGAGGACAUGAAUGUACUACCACGCAACAUCCACAUCUCCCCCUCCUUGUGCUGGAAGGCUUUGGCACCACUCUCUUCCAAC